rnacentral:lncRNA from 1 species
GGGGCGCCUGUGGGAGCCGUGGAGGGAACUUUCCCAGUCCCCGAGGCGGAUCCGGUGUUGCAUCCUUGGAGCGAGCUGAGAGCUCGAGAACCUGCUAAGGCCAUCAAACCUAUUGAUCGGAAGUCAGUCCAUCAGAUUUGCUCUGGGCCGGUGGUACCGAGUCUAAGCACUGCGGUGAAGGAGUUAGUAGAAAACAGUCUGGAUGCUGGUGCCACUAAUAUUGUGCUGGGAUUACAGGCAUGAACCACCGCGCCUGGCCCCCGUUCUCCUUACUGGAUCUAAAGCUUAAGGACUAUGGAGUGGAUCUCAUUGAAGUUUCAGGCAAUGGAUGUGGGGUAGAAGAAGAAAACUUCGAAGGCUUAACUCUGAAACAUCACACAUCUAAGAUUCAAGAGUUUGCCGACCUACCUCAGGUUGAAACUUUUGGCUUUCGGGGGGAAGCUCUGAGCUCACUUUGUGCACUGAGGUGAUAAAAUAUUUUUAUCCAUUCACUUGACCCCUUAGAAAAACCUCUCUGAAAAUUAAUUGGAAUCAUUAUUAUUUACAGUUUUCUGUCUCAAUAUCUCAGCUUCCAGCUUCUGAAUUCUGUUUUGUCUCACUGCCAAUCUAAGUCCUAGUACUUCUGAAAUGUGAGCAAUAAAUGAAUGAAAUGAAGCAAAUAGUAUUGUUAAAAAAAUUGGUUACCCUUAUUAAAACAGUAACUUCUCAA